UACAGAGGUCCCAAGCGUUGUUCGGAUUCACUGGGCGUAAAGGGUGCGUAGGUGGUGAGGUAAGUCGGAUGUGAAAUCCCCGGGCUCAACCUGGGACCUGCAUUUGUGACUGCAUCGCUAGAGUACGGCAGAGGGGGAUGGAAUUCCGCGUGUAGCAGUGAAAUGCGUAGAUAUGCGGAGGAACACCGAUGGCGAAGGCAAUCCCCUGGGCCUGUACUGACGCUCAUGCACGAAAGCGUGGGGAGCAAACAGG
rnacentral:rRNA from 1 species